rnacentral:rRNA from 1 species
GCUCCUACAACCCAUCGGGCCACACUAUAACAAUAGUAGAACCUCUGCUAAAACUAGUAACAAGAAAACUUCUCUAUACACACCUAUGCCUCAGUAAUAGAACAUCUACUGACAAUUAACAGACCAUAAACUACAUUUAAGUUAUCCGAACUGUCACCCCAACACAGGCGUGUUCACAGAAAGAUAAAAAGUUAUAGAAGGAACUCAGCAAAACAUUGACCCAACUGUUUACCAAAAACAUAGCCUUUAGCAAUACAAGUAUUAAAGGUCCCGCCUGCCCAGUGAAAUUUUAACGGCCGCGGUAUUAUAACCGUGCAAAGGUAGCGUAAUCACUUGUCUUUUAAAUAAAGACCAGUAUGAACGGCUAAAUGAGGUCAAUCCUGUCUCCUAUAACCAAUCAGUGAAACUGAUCUCCCAGUGCAAAAGCUGGGAUACACCCAUAAGACGAGAAGACCCUGUGGAGCUUAAAACCUUCUACUAAUCAGCUAUAAAUAGCCAAACUAGUACAAAUUUUAAGUUGGGGCGACUUCGGAAUAAAAAGAAACUUCCGAGCACAGAACCACCAGUUCUAACCAAGGCCUACAAGCCUAACCACAAACCGACCCAGUCAUACUGACCAACGAACCAAGUUACCCCAGGGAUAACAGCGCUAUCUUCUUCUAGAGUCCUUAUCGACAAGAAGGUUUACGACCUCGAUGUUGGAUCAGGACACCCCAAUGGUGCAGCCACUAUUAAAGGUUCGUUUGUUCAACGAUUAAUAGU